UAGAAGCUUCCAUUUUCUUUUGCCUGAGAAACAAUAAAACACUACCCAAGAAAUUAAAAGGAAAAAACAAAACCCCAAUCUCUCUCACUCCUCCCUCGAUUCUCGUAACUCCUCUCCUCUUCAUCACUGAUCUCUCUCUUCAUUACUCAAUCGUACCGUCGUGCCUCCCUGCCGCCUCUUCUUGCCGGGUUGUGUUGAGGUUUUCUUGCUAUUGUUACUGAUGCUUCCUUCAUCUCUCACCUCUCGUCCUCACUCUAUGCGCCGCCGCCGGUGAUAGCCAUGGUUAUCAUCCUUGCUAGCUCUACACUUCAUCAUCUAACUGGUAAUUCUUCUUAAUUCCAUUCCAUUAUGGUUUCAAUUGAAUUUAAUUGAAAACCCCCAAUUCACAAACCCUAACUCACUUGAUUUCUCCCUCCUCGCUGCGGACCUGCGGUGGUGCGCGCACGAACCUCUCGGUCGACGCCAUUGGUGUUGUGGUGGUGAUACUCUUGCUGUUGGUGGUUGUUGCCUGCCUCUCCUUGUCCCUCUGUUUUAUCGAGUCACUGUCGCCAUAGUCUUGGCUGCCGUGGAAACUGCUCCUUCACUAGUUUGUUGCAAUUCUUGUUGAUAAUUCGGUUAUUGAUUGAUGUUUUCAUCGUCAGUAUUGCCUCUGUUGCCUUCUUACUGCAGUUUCUCUAAAGGGUGAAUUGUUGGAGAGCGAUUAAGAAAAAGUUAAAUUAUGGAAUUGGCGGAGAUUUAUGAUCGGAUGUAUAGUCUUUGGAGUAUAUGUGUGGAGAUUAAAGAGUUAAAAUUUAAAAUGAUUUGCAGGUAGCAAGAGUCAAGUCUCAGUUCAGGUUUAAGGUUCGAAGAGUUCUCCAAGGGCCUUAUAUGUCCAAGGUUGGAUUAUGGAUUCGCUAAAUGUAAUUAGGACUUCUAGAGUUUGUUAAUGGUUUGUAUAAUUUAUUCUUAACCUUUUUGUUUAUAAUUUAUGCAUUAUAUAUCAGUGUUGGAGUUGUAGUUAAGUUAAGUUGUUUGGUUAAGGUUAAGUGUGCUUAGAAGUAGCUCAUUAAGUGUGGGAUGUUACAGGGACACCCUGGUGAUGUUUUGGGAAAUGUUAUAUAUGUUGGAAUGAUUUAAUUGAA